UAGGGAAUCUUCGGCAAUGGACGAAAGUCUGACCGAGCAACGCCGCGUGAGUGAAGAAGGCCUUCGGAUCGUAAAACUCUGUUGUUAGAGAAGAACAAGGACGUUAGUAACUGAACGUCCCCUGACGGUAUCUAACCAGAAAGCCACGGCUAACUACGUGCCAGCAGCCGCGGUAAUACGUAGGUGGCAAGCGUUGUCCGGAUUUAUUGGGCGUAAAGCGAGCGCAGGCGGUUUCUUAAGUCUGAUGUGAAAGCCCCCGGCUCAACCGGGGAGGGUCAUUGGAAACUGAGGGACUUGAAUGCAGAAGAGGAAAGUGGAAUUCCAUGUGUAGCAGUGGAAUGCGUAGAUAUAUGGAGGAACACCAGUGGCGAAGGAGGCUAUAUGGUCUGUAACUGACGCUGAGGCUCGAAAGCGUGGGGAGCAAACAGG
rnacentral:rRNA from 1 species